GCUCCAGUGGCGGACGGGUGAGUAACGCGUGAGAAUCUACCUUCAGGAUGGGGACAACCGUUGGAAACGACGGCUAAUUCCCAAUGUGCCGAAAGGUGAAAGGUUUCGACCGCCUGAAGAGGAGCUCGCGUCCGAUUAGUUGGUUGGUGAGGUAAAGGCUCACCAAGGCAGCGAUCGGUAGCUGGUCUGAGAGGAUGAGCAGCCACACUGGGACUGAGACACGGCCCAGACUCCUACGGGAGGCAGCAGUGGGGAAUUUUCCGCAAUGGGCGAAAGCCUGACGGAGCAACGCCGCGUGUGGGAAGAAGGCUCUUGGGCUGUCAACCACUUUUCUCAGGGAAGAAGUUCUGACGGUACCUGAGGAAUCAGCCUCGGCUAACUCCGUGCCAGCAGCCGCGGUAAUACGGAGGAGGCAAGCGUUAUCCGGAAUUAUUGGGCGUAAAGCGUCCGCAGGGGGCUCAUCAAGUCUGCUGUUAAAGGUCGGAGCUUAACUCCGAUACAGCAGUGGAAACUGAUGGGCUAGAGGGCGACAGGGGUAGAGGGAAUUCCCAGUGUAGCGGUGAAAUGCGUAGAGAUUGGGAAGAACACCGGUGGCGAAAGCGCUCUACUGGGUCGCACCUGACCCUCAGGGACGAAAGCUAAGGGAGCGAAAGGGAUUAGAUACCCCUGUAGUCUUAGCUGUAAACGAUGGAUACUAGGCGUGGGUUUGUAUCGACCCAAGCCGUGCCGAAACUAACGCG
rnacentral:rRNA from 1 species